rnacentral:tRNA from 2 species
AUUUAAAUAAUUUAAUUUUAAAAUAUUGAUUUGUGGAAUCAAAAAUGUAUAAUAUACUUUAAAUA